GGAUGUGAGGGCGAUCUGGCUGCGACAUCUGUCACCCCAUUGAUCGCCAGGGUUGAUUCGGCUGAUCUGGCUGGCUAGGCGGGUGUCCCCUUCCUCCCUCACCGCUCCAUGUGCGUCCCUCCCGAAGCUGCGCGCUCGGUCGAAGAGGACGACCAUCCCCGCUAGAGGAGGACCGGUCUUCGGUCAAGGGUAUACGAGUAGCUGCGCUCCCCUGCUAGAACCUCCAAACAAGCUCUCAAGGUCAAUAAAAAUGUCUUAUUUUUGAAACAUAAUAUAAUUCACUAGUGGCCUUUAAAGUUUAUUA
rnacentral:snRNA from 1 species